GAUCUUAACACUUGUCUAAAAUUCUCACUCAUAGAGAUAUAUCAAUUAGUAUGUAAAAAAUAAACAUUAAGGAUACAGAUUAAACUAUAUUUGGAAUGCAAUAGGAAAGAAAGGAGCAGCAAUUAGCCUAUAUACAAAUAUCACAAACAAUAAGCAUAAAAUGCAGCACAUAAAUAUAAUCAAUUUCCCGAGGCUUUGUAUGCAAUCAGACGAUUUUAUAGGAACAUGGAGCUGAAUAGCA
rnacentral:misc_RNA from 1 species